UCUCUCUUCCCUCCAUCAACACCACCGCCAUCCAACGCCUUCGACCACUCCCACCGCCUUCUGCCCUCGUCGGAUCUACUCGACGCCGCUAUGGCCAGCCCCUCCUUCACGUAAUCACGUGUGCUGUCAGCCUUGUCAAGAUUGGAUAGAUCGUGAAACUGUCGCUAUCGGGAUUGGCUCGGCGUAGCUGCCGCCCUCUUACUGCCGGUGUGCCGUCGCUGGAGCGCCAUGCCGGAAAUCCGGGAAGCCCUCUAACCAUGUAGUUAUUUAAUUCCAUAGGCCUUUGCUUAUUACUCUCAUGUUUUUAGGCUACUUAGAGCAUAUUUAUUGAAUAUUUAUUGAACAAAUCAUAAGUUUGGUGUUCUUAAAUCUUGGUUUGGAAGUUGUAUGUAAAUUGUGUAUUACUGUUAGAAUAUUUAGGUUUUAGGCAGAUUCUCUAUUUUCUUCA